rnacentral:tRNA from 1 species
AGGGUUGUGGCUCAGUGGUAGAGCGCCUGCCUCAUACAUGUGAGGCACUGAGUUUGAUUCUCAGCAUCACAU